AGUGGGAGCCCCACCACCAAAGCAUUCUCUGGUGUUGAAGGCCCUGCAAAGCAGCAUCGCGGUGGCGGAGCGUCGUUUGCGACGCCCAACACACAAAACAAGCGGUGAGUGCUUUGGGGUGGGGUGACUGCGUACCUUUUGUAUAAUGGGUCAGCGACUUAUAUUCUGUAGCAAGGUUAACCGAAUAGGGGAGCCGGAGGGAAACCGAGUCUUAAUUGGGCGUUAAGUUGCAGGGUAUAGACCCGAAACCCGGUGAUCUAGCCAUGGGCAGGUUGAAGGUUGGGUAACACUAACUGGAGGACCGAACCGACUAAUGUUGAAAAAUUAGCGGAUGACCUGUGGCUGGGGGUGAAAGGCCAAUCAAACCGGGAGAUAGCUGGUUCUCCCCGAAAGCUAUUUAGGUAGCGCCUCGUGAAUUCAUCUCCGGGGGUAGAGCACUGUUUCGGCUAGGGGGCCAUCCCGGCUUACCAACCCGAUGCAAACUGCGAAUACCGGAGAAUGUUAUCACGGGAGACACACGGCGGGUGCUAACGUCCGUCGUGAAGAGGGAAACAACCCAGACCGCCAGCUAAGGUCCCAAAGUCAUGGUUAAGUGGGAAACGAUGUGGGAAGGCCCAGACAGCCAGGAUGUUGGCUUAGAAGCAGCCAUCAUUUAAAGAAAGCGUAAUAGCUCACUGGUCGAGUCGGCCUGCGCGGAAGAUGUAACGGGGCUAAACCAU
rnacentral:rRNA from 1 species